GCGGCGCCUCAGCAGCCAGGGCAGCCGGAGAGGGGAUAACCCUCACGGAGGACCCGGGUUCGAAUCCCGGCCGGGGCUCCA
rnacentral:tRNA from 1 species